rnacentral:rRNA from 1 species
UACGGAGGGUGCAAGCAUUAAUCGGAUUUAUUGGGCGUAAAGGGCGCGUAGGCGGAAAUGCAAGUCAGAUGUGAAAUCCCGGGGCUCACCCCCGGAACAGCAUUUGAAACUGCAUUCCUUGAGGGUAGGCGGAGAAAAUGGAAUUCCACAAGUAGCGGUGAAAUGCGUAGAUAUGUGGAAGAACACCAGUGGCGAAGGCGGUUUUCUAGCUUAUUCCUGACGCUGAGGCGCGAAAGCGUGGGGAGCAAACAGG